UACAGAGGGUGCGAGCGUUAAUCGGAAUUACUGGGCGUAAAAGCGCGCGUAGGCGGCUUUGCAAGUCGGGUGUGAAUACCCCAGGCUUAACCUGGGAACUGCAUUCGAGACUGCAUUGCUAGAGUAUGGGAGAGGGAAGUGGAAUUUCCGGUGUAGCGGUGAAAUGCGUAGAUAUCGGAAGGAACAUCAGUGGCGAAAGCGACUUCCUGGACCAAUACUGACGCUCAUGUGCGAAAGCGUGGGGGAGCAAACAGG
rnacentral:rRNA from 1 species